UCGAGCGGACAGAAGGGAGCUUGUUCCCGGAAGUCAGCGGCGGACGGGUGAGUAACACGUGGGCAACCUGCCCUGCAGAUUGGGAUAACUCCGGGAAACCGGGGCUAAUACCGAAUAACAUUGAAAACCUCAUGGUUUUCUUUUGAAAGGCGGCUUCGGCUGUCACUGCAGGAUGGGCCCGCGGCGCAUUAGCUAGUUGGUGGGGUAACGGCUCACCAAGGCAACGAUGCGUAGCCGACCUGAGAGGGUGAUCGGCCACACUGGGACUGAGACACGGCCCAGACUCCUACGGGAGGCAGCAGUAGGGAAUCUUCCGCAAUGGACGAAAGUCUGACGGAGCAACGCCGCGUGAGUGAAGAAGGUUUUCGGAUCGUAAAACUCUGUUGUCAGGGAAGAACAAGUAUGGGAGUAACUGCCCGUACCUUGACGGUACCUGGCCAGAAAGCCACGGCUAACUACGUGCCAGCAGCCGCGGUAAUACGUAGGUGGCAAGCGUUGUCCGGAAUUAUUGGGCGUAAAGCGCGCGCAGGCGGCCUUUUAAGUCUGAUGUGAAAGCCCCCGGCUCAACCGGGGAGGGUCAUUGGAAACUGGAAGGCUUGAGUGCAGAAGAGAAGAGCGGAAUUCCACGUGUAGCGGUGAAAUGCGUAGAGAUGUGGAGGAACACCAGUGGCGAAGGCGGCUCUUUGGUCUGUAACUGACGCUGAGGCGCGAAAGCGUGGGGAGCGAACAGGAUUAGAUACCCUGGUAGUCCACGCCGUAAACGAUGAGUGCUAAGUGUUGGGGGGUUUCCGCCCCUCAGUGCUGCAGCUAACGCAUUAAGCA
rnacentral:rRNA from 1 species